rnacentral:rRNA from 1 species
CCUACGGGAGGCAGCAGUGGGGAAUAUUGGACAAUGGGCGAAAGCCUGAUCCAGCCAUGCCGCGUGUGUGAAGAAGGCCUUCGGGUUGUAAAGCACUUUUGGCGGGAACGAAAAGGACUGUGCCAAUACCACGGUUCGAUGACGGUACCCGCAGAAUAAGCACCGGCUAACUACGUGCCAGCAGCCGCGGUAAUACGUAGGUCCCGAGCGUUGUCCGGAUUUAUUGGGCGUAAAGCGAGCGCAGGCGGUUUGAUAAGUCUGAAGUUAAAGGCUGUGGCUCAACC